GGCGGCGUGCUUAACACAUGCAAGUCGAACGAAGCACUUUAUUUGAUUUCCUUCGGGACUGAUUAUUUUGUGACUGAGUGGCGGACGGGUGAGUAACGCGUGGGUAACCUGCCUUGUACAGGGGGAUAACAGUUGGAAACGGCUGCUAAUACUGCAUAAGCGCACAGCAUCGCAUGAUGCAGUGUGAAAAACUCCGGUGGUAUAAGAUGGACCCGCGUUGGAUUAGCUAGUUGGUGAGGUAACGGCCCACCAAGGCGACGAUCCAUAGCCGACCUGAGAGGGCGACCGGCCACAUUGGGACUGAGACACGGCCCAAACUCCUACGGGAGGCAGCAGUGGGGAAUAUUGCACAAUGGGCGAAAGCCUGAUGCAGCGACGCCGCGUGAGCGAAGAAGUAUUUCGGUAUGUAAAGCUCUAUCAGCAGGGAAGAUAAUGACGGUACCUGACUAAGAAGCACCGGCUAAAUACGUGCCAGCAGCCGCGGUAAUACGUAUGGUGCAAGCGUUAUCCGGAUUUACUGGGUGUAAAGGGAGCGCAGGCGGUGCGGCAAGUCUGAUGUGAAAGCCCGGGGCUCAACCCCGGUACUGCAUUGGAAACUGUCGUACUAGAGUGUCGGAGGGGUAAGCGGAAUUCCUAGUGUAGCGGUGAAAUGCGUAGAUAUUAGGAGGAACACCAGUGGCGAAGGCGGCUUACUGGACGAUAACUGACGCUGAGGCUCGAAAGCGUGGGGAGCAAACAGGAUUAGAUACCCUGGUAGUCCACGCCGUAAACGGAAGAAAUAAUAGGUGUUGGGAAGCAUUGCUUCUCGGUCCCGUCGCAAACGCCGUAAGUAUUCCACCCUGGGGGAGUACGUUUGCAAGAAUGAAACUCAAAGGAAUUGAACGGGGACCCCCCCAAGGCGGUGGAAGCAUGUGGUUUAAUUCGAAGCAACGCGAAGAACCUUACCAAGUCUUGACAUCCUUCUGACCGGUACUUAACCGUACCUUCUCUUCGGAGCAGGAGUGACAGGUGGUGCAUGGUUGUCGUCAGCUCGUGUCGUGAGAUGUUGGGUUAAGUCCCGCAACGAGCGCAACCCUUAUCUUUAGUAGCCAGCGGUCCGGCCGGGCACUCUAGAGAGACUGCCAGGGAUAACCUGGAGGAAGGCGGGGAUGACGUCAAAUCAUCAUGCCCCUUAUGACUUGGGCUACACACGUGCUACAAUGGCGUAAACAAAGGGAAGCAAAGCUGUGAAGCCGAGCAAAUCUCAAAAAUAACGUCUCAGUUCGGACUGUAGUCUGCAACCCGACUACACGAAGCUGGAAUCGCUAGUAAUCGCAGAUCAGAAUGCUGCGGUGAAUACGUUCCCGGGUCUUGCACACAGCGCCCGUC
rnacentral:rRNA from 1 species